UUUGACCUUAUUACCCGUAACUAGCAAAGUUAAUGUUACAAGUAUGCCUGUUAAUAAUUCCUCUCAAAUAUGUUCCAAACCCCAAAACCGCUAUGUUCCAUCUCUCAAAUAUCUGAAAUCUCAAUCCCUCCUCGUUAGUUUCUAUGCCCCAAAGUCAUCUGCCCUUUUUUUUCUAUUCGCUGCCAUUGCUCCUCCAAAAUCCCCAAAUUUUCCGUUAUGAUUCUUUCUCAACAGCUCAAUAACAACAACAUAUCUGGCGUUCUUUGCCUUCCUUGAUCGUCUUCUUAUGGUUUCUUUUGUAGGACAUGGGAAGGUGUGAAGUGUUCACUAUUGAGCAUGAUAACCGCGGCCGGCUCCUAUUCCGUCGGCACGCGGAACUAAGGAUGCUAGGUGCACACUAGGUGUUCGAUAAAAUGCCAAUAUCAAUUGGUCGAUUCUCUGCAUUUUCAGAAGUAGUAUGGCCGAUGAACAAAAUGUGCCAUCUAAGAAGAGGGUAGGGGUCCAUCAAUGAGGGUAGGGAAUCAAGUACACCUAUGUUCCUCGAGUUUAAUGAUUUUGACUUGUGUAGUGCGGAUUGGGAAGCUACCUACAGGAAACAAAUUGACGCUUGUGCUAAGAGAAUUGAUAUAAAUAUGGACGAAUAUUCGAAGAUUGAUAAAGGUGCUAUACGUUUAUGGUGGUCUCUCUCAUAAUAUUCAGACAAUUGAUCAGUGAACAUGAAUGAAGAACGGUUGAUACAUGCUAGUAGAGAUGCAUUGCUAAGAGUAAGGACACAUGAAGUUAAGGUACUUAUAUAGUAAUUUAAUUUAUGUACCAUUCUAAGAAUAGUAAAGGAAACAGCAAGGCAGGAAUUCCGAAAGUCCAGGAGCUUAAGGCGAGUUGCGCUGCCUAGUAUGUUUUUCAGUUUACUCACUAUUUGUUGUAUUCUUUUGGUUAAUCACUUCAAGAUAUUGUGCCACUUAUAAAUUGAUGAAAUUUAUUGUUUUUUUCCUUUGAAGAUAAAUUUAUACAGAGAACAAAGAAGCUAUACCAGGAAUACUAUGAAGAGGUUUUAACUAGUUUUGUUUGCAGAUUGUGUGAGAAACCACAACCACGGUAGAGAAAUGUAGUCGUGCUUAUAUUUUUUUUGUUCUACUUUAUUGUUAAAGUUUUAUAUAAUUAGGAGUUGCUAUUUAGAAUUUUGAUGAAAAAAUAAGUUUGUGAUACCUCAUAUGUACCUCUUUAUUUACUCCAAUGUUAUACAUUCAGAUUAUUUUAUAAAUACCAUUCACUUUUA